UCUGAACGGAGUUGGGAAACAUUGGUCUUAAGUUUUCUUCAUCAGUCUUCUUAGAGCUUUGUGUACCUCUUUGUUCCUCAGGGUAUAGAUUAGAGGAUUGAGCAUGGUGACAACAAAUGUAUAGAAAAGGGAAACCAUCUUGCCUUGAUCACGGGAGUAGUUGGAUGGGGGCUGGACAUAGCUGAAGGUGGCCGUCCCAUAAAAGAGUGACACCACGAUCAAGUGGGAAGCACAGGUGUUGAAGGCCUUCUGCCUGCUCUCUGCUGAGCGGAUCCUCAACACAGCAACCACAAUAUAGCUAUAAGAGACCAUAAUGAGGCCUAGUGGUACUAUAAGGAAGACAGCACUAGAAGCAACAAGCAAAGCCUCAUUGAAGGAGGUGUCAACACAGGCCAAUUCGAUUAAGGCUGGCACCUCACAGAAAAAAUUGUCAAUUCGGUUCUCUCCACACCGUGGGAGCCGAAGAGUCAUCACCGACUCCACCACUGAGGUGCUUAGCCCACUAAUCCAUGCGACGGCAGCCAUUUUGAAGCAUACAGCGUGGCUCAUAAUGGUAGUGUAACGCAGUGGGUGGCAGACGGCAGCAUAGCGGUCACAGGCCAUGACAGCCAAAAGAAUACAUUCUGUGGAGCCCAGAGCAAGGAAGAUGUAGAGCUGGGCCACACAGGCACUGUAACUGAUGGUCUUGCUUUUCCUCCAGAAGUUCACCAGCAUCUGUGGGGCCACACUAGUGGUGAAGCAAAGAUCAAGGAAGGAGAGGUUGCUGAGGAAGAAAUACAUGGGUGUGUGGAGAUGGGGGUCCAGCCGUGACACCACAAUGAUGGUCAUGUUGCCUAGCAAGGUCAUUGUGUAGCAGAUCAGGACAAGACCAAAGAGAAACAUCUCCAAGUGUGGGCGGUCAGCCACUCCCAGUAAGAUGAAUUCUCCUUCAUGGCUCUGAUUAUCUCCCCACAUUGCUUCCCUGUACAACAUCUGGAAAAGAAAAAAAGAUAUAUAGCAAAAUACCUACUCAAAAUGGAGCUGGAAUAAGCCGCUGGCACAAGAGCAAUAGUGGCAUCUUGGUAUGGCUGAGAUCACCCAUGUACCAUGUGUACAAUGAGAAAACCUUCUAAUUUUUACAUGGCCUGAUGCAGGGAUAGGGUACCUGCACGUAAGGGUUGGGAUGCUUACUGAAAAUGAUAAUAUUUUAUAGUGAUCUUGUAGCCUUACUGGAAUUCACCGAUUGGGUCUGCGUUUCUCCGGGACAGGAGGAAGGAAGUCAAACGACUCCUGAGGUUGAUUCAAAGAAAGAGUUUAUUCUGCUCUCCGGAUAGCAGAAGGCACUUGCGUGAUAAAGUCCACAGCAAGUCCAAAGAAACGACAGGUUUCAUGCAGUUUAUAUACUCUCCAGGCAUCCUCUCCCCCUUCCCCAGCCACGUCAACUUGUAUACACAGGUUGACAUCACAUAUGUUCCUGCUCUGGUACUCUCAGCCAUAAAAGGAUUUUCCUUCCUG
rnacentral:lncRNA from 1 species